rnacentral:lncRNA from 1 species
GAACAAACUGCUAUGCUGGAAAACUCUACAUAACACAAACUGAGGGUAGCCUCCAGCCGACACUUAGUGAAGAACAGAAUCCUACCUGGAACCAAAUGCAGCAUAAAAUAUACCAGAAACCUAAACCACCGAAUCUUUCACAUCUGUUUUUCCUACUUUAAACAUCAAAGACUUCAAUUUUUUUUUUCUUUUUCGUUUCUGUUCUCUGUAUAAUACUGUAAAGAGCAGUGUGUAAAUGUCAUUGACUAAGGUUGAUAAAGUAAGCACUGAUAAUAAACUUUUCUGUAUUCUCAGAAUUCAUAUUUUAAUUUUUCAUACAACUAAUGAAACAACAACUAAUGGAACAACAUUUUAUAAGAAAUAAAUAUCUACAAGAUAAAUUUUUAAAUAUUUUAAAAAAUAUUAAUUUCGAAGAUUUUAAAUCUAGCAGAAAGGUAGAAAAAUAAUAAGUUUCAUAUACCCAUUGUGAUGGUUAAUUUUAUGUGUGAACUUGGCUGGGCCACAGUGUCUAGAUAUGUGGUCAAACAUUAUUCUGGAUGUUUCUGUAAGCAAGUUUUUGGAUGAGAUUAAUGCUUAA